rnacentral:rRNA from 1 species
CCUGAGUACGACGGAGCACGUGAAAUUCCGUCGGAAUCUGGGAGGACCAUCUCCUAAGGCUAAAUACUCUCUAGUGACCGAUAGUGAACCAGUACCGUGAGGGAAAGGUGAAAAGUACCCCGGAAGGGGAGUGAAAGAGAACUUGAAACCGUGUGCUUACAAGUAGUCAGAGCCCGUUAAUGGGUGAUGGCGUGCCUUUUGUAGAAUGAACCGGCGAGUUACGAUCUGAUGCAAGGUUAAGCAGGAAAUGUGGAGCCGUAGCGAAAGCGAGUCUGAAUAGGGCGAAUGAGUAUUUGGUCGUAGACCCGAAACCAGGUGAUCUACCCUUGGUCAGGUUGAAGUUCAGGUAACACUGAAUGGAGGACCGAACCGACUUACGUUGAAAAGUGAGCGGAUGAACUGAGGGUAGCGGAGAAAUUCCAAUCGAACUUGGAGAUAGCUGGUUCUCUCCGAAAUAGCUUUAGGGCUAGCCUCAAGUGAUGAUUAUUGGAGGUAGAGCACUGUUUGGACGAGGGGCCCCUCUCGGGUUACCGAAUUCAGACAAACUCCGAAUGCCAAAUAAUUUAACUUGGGAGUCAGAAUGUGGGUGAUAAGGUCCAUAUUCGAAAGGGAAACAGCCCAGACCACCAGCUAAGGUCCCAAAAUAUAUGUUAAGUGGAAAAGGAUGUGGCGUUGCCCAGACAACUAGGAUGUUGGCUUAGAAGCAGCCAUCAUUUAAAGAGUGCGUAAUAGCUCACUAGUCGAGUGACACUGCGCCGAAAAUGUACCGGGGCUAAACAUAUUACCGAAGCUGUGGAUUGUCCUUUGGACAAUGGUAGGAGAGCGUUCUAAGGGCGUUGAAGCAUGAUCGCAAGGACAUGUGGAGCGCUUAGAAGUGAGAAUGCCGGUGUGAGUAGCGAAAGACGGGUGAGAAUCCCGUCCACCGAUUGACUAAGGUUUCCAGAGGAAGGCUCGUCCGCUCUGGGUUAGUCGGGUCCUAAGCUGAGGCCGACAGGCGUAGGCGAUGGAUAACAGGUUGAUAUUCCUGUACCACCAUUAUUCGUUUUAAGCGAUGGGGGGACGCAGUAGGAUAGGC